GACUUUCCCCCACCUCCCUGCUCUGAUAGUUUCCUCCGAGUCGUGGCAGCAGGAAACGCAGUGGAGCUCCAGUGACCCCUCAGAGGCCCGCUGCUUAGCGACACAGCUCGCCUGUGUCCUUGCCAGCCUCACACAGCCCCCAGUCUGGUCUCAGGACGGUUCUGUUCUGAAUCUAUCUCCCCCACCAGAGGAGUCCAGCCGCGACCAGCCGGACGACAGGAAGGACCUGCCAUGGGGUGCCCAGUUUGAGCUGCCUCCAGUGCUCCUGGAGAGGGACAGGGACUCUGCCUGUCUCUUCAGCCAUGCUGGCCCUUCUUUUGCCCUUGUCCUGCCGGAACCCGUCAUCUGACCCUCUCAGAUCAGCACAAGCUCUUGUCCCCCUGCCACGGUCCUUCCCCCCCAAUAAACGACUUGCCUGGAGUCAUUGUCUUGCUGCUGCUACUGGUGACCUCACCUGGGACCAUGGUGACAGCCCGGUGGCAUCUGAUUUCCUGCAGAAGCCAAGUGCCCUGAGCAUGAAGAGCCUGGUCUCCAAGCUGUACCCCGCGGUCCCGGAGCCAAGCACUUCGAGGCUGGCUGGGGAGGCUGGUGGCCCAGCCCUGAGUGCUCGGGUCCUCCAGGAGAUGGCCAAGGGCACCAAGAGCAUCACCCUCAUCACAGCCACUCAGCACUCCAAGGCGCACGACUGGGAGGGCAGCAGUGGCCGCUCCUCCUGCCACCUCCUAGAGGAAAUGGCCCUGGACUGCAGGGACCUGAAGUCAAGCACCACCCCAGACCCCAGCCUGGCAGACAGAAGGUGGCCCCACGCUGGCCGGUGCAGGGACCGCUCCGUGGAGAGGAAGGCCAAGAAGAAGCGGUCACCCUCCCUCCCUGGGACCGUGCAGCCGGCGAGGGAGAAGCUGCCAUCCCCCUGCAGGGAGUGUCUGGCGGAGAGUCAGCCACCCCCAGCACUCCUUCGGCCGUCAAAGUCAUCAGGAAAGAGCUUAUUCCCUGCUAUCCCUGUGGCCUCCAAGAUAAAACCCGGCCUCAGUUUCCGUGCAGGUACAGGAUCGUGAAAGAAAAUAGCACAUUAGUUUCCUUCCUGUACCUUAGGUCUCUCUCCCUCCUUCGGAAUGUACAUCUUGAGACAGUGUGACAGUUUGGGUUGUUAUCAGUUGUCUGCUCCCUGGUGUGAGUGAGUUUCAGGUUUUCUUAGGGUAGUGAGUGAGCCAAGGCCAGUGGCUUUGGGAAAAGAAUUAUUGGCAGGGUGUUCAGUUUUACUUCUGGUCUGUCCAACGUCUCAAUAGAGGUUAAAAUAAUGAUGAACAUUGGGCAUACACCAUAGGCUGCCCUUAUGCCAGCUGUACCCCAGCCCCUGGGGCUUCUUCAUAGGUUUGAG
rnacentral:lncRNA from 1 species